UUUUACUCUUUUCUUAUGGUCUCAUUUCACCUCCCUAUUAUAUUCUCCUAUAAAAAUCGUUUCUUCCAAACUUUAAUUCAACCAAAAUUGAAAGCUAUGGCCAUGAGAAAUAAAUAAUUCAGAGUCUCUUGCUCUUCCUCUACUCUUUGUACCCGGUAAUCAAACCCCACAGUAUUCAUAGCUAUAGGAACGGCGAAAUCCACCGCCACAGCCCCGGCUUAAUUUUAUAAGGAUGUGAUCGUUUACCACCAAGUUUGCUUGCUUACAUGGUUGCAGCUUCAUAACUCGUGCCAUGUUUGUCAUACGAGUUCAUGACUCAUGGAGGUCAGACCAGUGGGGAAGACAGACAACAAACGGUUGAGAUUUCGCCGACUCCGAGGAGGUUUAGUUUAUCAUAUCCAUGGCCACUCAAGAGACAUGAUACGAAUUAGGAUUCUGGGAGUGGAUCUGAUAUCGAUACUACGUAGGAUGAAUUGGAUUGAGAAAUUCAUGGCAUACAAUGAAAUUCUCAAAACAUUUGAAGAUCAAGAGGAGUUAAAAGAGGUUUGACCUUCAAAUGCUAGCAAGAAGGCGGAUCAAUGGGUAGCUUUUCGAAUAUACUCUGUAGACAUUCCUUUUACCUGUUCUCCUCUCCAAUAUUUGUGUUGCCACUUGCCAGUGGCCCAGUGUUAACAAUGGUGGCUUCCCUAAACCCACGUCUGUUAUUCUCCUCAACUAACAAAAUGUGUUUCAUGUAGCAUUUAAAGCACUGAAUUUUUCUCAGGGUUAUGGAAAUGGGGAAGAAGCUUGCAGAGAGGAUAAGGAGCAAAGGGCCUUACAUUGUCCUGAGUGUAUCUAAUUGUGGCUUUGAAAAUUCAUUUUCUACACCGAAGAAAAGAAGAAGCCAGUGACUGUUUUUUAACGUUUUGUUGUCUUCUAAGCUCUGUGAAUGUUUAUAAAACUGGUGUUUUGAUGAUUAUGUGCCUCACAUUUUUUUUGUUUUUAUGGAUAGGUUGAAUCACAGCUCACUGAAUAAAAAAAAUACCCAACUCCGUAUUUUCGAAUGGUCUUACAUAACUGUCUCCAGUGGGAUCAGUGGCCUUAUGCUACUGUCGAUAUACUACAGAUUCCACCAACGCCAUAUCUACAAAGCCAAAAAGGAGGAAGAUGAACAUGACAACUUGAAGCCAGCCUCUAUCGCUGGGGGUGGAAACUGCAGCAAAUCAUAGUAGACACUACAAGGUUGAAGCAAAAGAAGUUUUCUUUUCUGUUACAAAGCUUUCCCAAUCUAAAGACACUGGUUUGGGAGAGAACGGUUUACUUGAUCAUAAAGGAACUUUCUCCAUCAGCUGAUAAGGUUCAUAGUUUGUAAUUUGCUUAGGUGGCUGAAUCCUAAUACCAAUACUGAAGGUAUAGUUUCUUAAUUUGCUUCACCAGUGCCAACAAUCACAAAAUUAUAAUUUGUUCUUCUUCCUUCAGAUUCUAAUGAUUGGUUGUUAUUUGAGUCAUUGUGAUUUUCAGUAGGGAUGUUUAAAUGAAGAUAGAAUCUAACAAGUCAGUGUCGGAGGUUAAUAAUGAAAUUGAGAGUGAGGAUGGUAGUGAAUAGGUUUGUAGUUGAUCAUUUUAAAUUACGUUUCAUUGUGUAUAAUCAAAUUCAUGAUGAGAACGGUGACCAAGGUUGAAAUUUGUAGCAUAAGUACAGAUGGUUGAUCUC